GACGAACGCUGGCGGCGUGCUUAACACAUGCAAGUCGAACGGAAAGGCCCUGCUUUUGUGGGGUGCUCGAGUGGCGAACGGGUGAGUAACACGUGAGUAACCUGCCCUUGACUUUGGGAUAACUUCAGGAAACUGGGGCUAAUACCGGAUAGGAGCUCCUGCUGCAUGGUGGGGGUUGGAAAGUUUCGGCGGUUGGGGAUGGACUCGCGGCUUAUCAGCUUGUUGGUGGGGUAGUGGCUUACCAAGGCUUUGACGGGUAGCCGGCCUGGGAGGGUGACCGGCCACAUUGGACCUGAGUUACGGCCCAGACUCCUACGGGAGGCAGCAGUGGGGAAUAUUGCACAAUGGGCGGAAGCCUGAUGCAGCAACGCCGCGUGCGGGAUGACGGCCUUCGGGUUGUAAACCGCUUUCGCCUGUGACGAAGCGUGAGUGACGGUAAUGGGUAAAGAAGCACCGGCUAACUACGUG
rnacentral:rRNA from 1 species